AAUUAUGCAACGCAGCGAUUUUCAAUAAAUCGUGCUGCACGCAGAAGAAGAUUUUUACGGAGGCACCCGACGUCGACGGAGGAAUUUGCCGUUUUACUCGCCGACUACAACUCACGUCCAUCGACAAGCAUUUCCUUCACCCUGCCAGGCAGUGUUAUCAACACUGAGGACCUCUCUACAGAACUGACUCGGAGGAGACCCAGUUCCAUUCUUGGUUCCCUCCCCCCCCGACCCCUCUGUGAAGGUGUGAUCAAACAGAUGAGUGUGACCUCCAGAGGGACCCCAAACGUCGCUCAUACCAUAUAGUACAUAACCACUCAAUGCAAAAUGGAGCAAGGGCAGAGAAAAAGGGGUCAAAGACCAAAACGGAACCAGGCAGCCUUUUUCAGUACCAAAAAAGAAAAAGGAAAAAAGGAAGAAAAAAAAAAACAGCAAUCGAAAUGCUCCUUCGUUUCCAUAAGUAGUUCCAUAUUACAUCUUGAUGUAUGCGCACAAACAUUCACACAACACACGCUCAGACGGAAGCUCAUGCACCUUCAAUAGCAAUAAAAGGACAAAACAAGGCCGUGAUGAUUUUUUUUUUUU